GCAAGUCGAACGAAGUAGCAAUACUUAGUGGCAGACGGGUGAGUAACAUGUAGGUAUCUGCCCUUUGGCCUGGAAUAACACGAGGAAACUUGUGCUAAUACCGGAUAAGUCUUUACGGAGAAAGCUUUAUGCACCAUUGGAUGAGCCUGCACUUGAUUAGUUAGUUGGUGGGGUAAUAACCUACCAAGACGAUGAUGCAUAGCCGACCUGAGAGGGUGAUC
rnacentral:rRNA from 1 species